rnacentral:rRNA from 1 species
CUACGGGUUGCAGCAGGCGAGAAAACUUUGCAAUGUGCGAAAGCACGACAAGGUUAAUCCGAGUGGUUUCUGCUAAAGGAACCUUUUGACAGUCCUAGAAACACUGUUGAAUAAGGGGUGGGCAAGUUCUGGUGUCAGCCGCCACGGUAAAACCAGCACCUCAAGUGGUCAGGAUGAUUAUUGGGCCUAAAGCAUCCGUAGCCGGCUCUGUAAGUUUUCGGUUAAAUCUGUACGCUCAACGUACAGGCUGCCGGGAAUACUGCAGAGCUAGGGAGUGGGAGAGGUGGACGGUACUCGGUAGGAAGGGGUAAAAUCCUUUGAUCUAUUGAUGACCACCUGUGGCGAAGGCGGUCUACCAGAACACGUCCGACGGUGAGGGAUGAAAGCUGGGGGAGCAAACCGGAUUAGAUACCCUAGUAGUC